rnacentral:sRNA from 1 species
AUCUUGGCGCAGCGCGUAAGGGAUAGUAGUGGAUAUCCUUUUUUGGCGGAUGGAAUUAGCGGAUGGGAAAAAAGAUAGUAACGGAUAGCCCGGCCCGAG